CUUCCCUGGGGUGGAGGGUGCUCACUGUUUGCACUCCUUGUCAUUUGCAUUCUCAUCCAAUUAACACAAAAAGGACCGUUUUCAAUUCCUAGCACAUUCUGGGCCUUUAUUCUCCUCUGGCAGUUCUCCUCCAGAAAUUCUUCUUUGUGUGGGAAGUGGGCAUUUGUAAAUCAGUGGGAGUUUUGCCUGAAAGCAAACAGCAAAAGGAGAGCCCGCAGUGCCUGUGGAUUUAUUGGGAUCUGGUACAAAGAAGCAGAGACCAUGCCACCCAAGGUCCAACACAGCAUCCUAGGAUGCUCUUCCUCAGGUCAUGGACCCGUGAAGACCAUUGCCACCUGCUUGCUGAAGCAGAGCUGGGUGCGCACAUCUGAAAGAUGUCUGCAAGCCUACAGGCAGACGGCCUAGGAAGAAACCCGGCUGUUGAGAAGAAAGUGAAAGCUCCUUCCACAUAUCUUUUUGAACAUUGUGAACAAGCAUUACAUGAAUCACCCCAAAUUUAUCAGCUCUGGCCUAUCAUCAAAGAAGAAGAAAGAUGUUUAAUGGGGUGGUGAAUCUUUGUAAGUCCAGUAGCUCCUUUGAGAAAAAAAACAAAACAAAAACCAAAAAACCUCACAUUUCCUGCUACCAUAGAAACCAUCUCCUUCAAGUGAAUUGUAAAUAUAAAAAGGGCCCUCUGGCUUCAUGUUUAUAUUAAUAUGAGUAUUCCUUUUUUUUUAAUAUGGAGAAGUAUGCCUUAUUUCUCUUUAAGGUGUCUGGUCUGUUGAUCUUAUUCUCGUCGAGUCUGAUGAUAGUCACUAGGGAGACUUAAGUCCAUCUUUCUG
rnacentral:lncRNA from 12 species